UAUAUCUUGGUGUAUGAUGCACGAUAGCUUUUGAUGCUUGGGGGUGACAGUUUAAUUCUGUUAGAUGUAA
rnacentral:tRNA from 2 species